CGCACGGGUGAGUAACACGUAUCCAACCUGCCGUCUACUCUUGGACAGCCUUCUGAAAGGAAGAUUAAUACAAGAUGGCAUCAUGAGUCCGCAUGUUCACAUGAUUAAAGGUAUUCCGGUAGACGAUGGGGAUGCGUUCCAUUAGAUAGUAGGCGGGGUAACGGCCCACCUAGUCUUCGAUGGAUAGGGGUUCUGAGAGGAAGGUCCCCCACAUUGGAACUGGGACACGGUCCAA
rnacentral:rRNA from 1 species